GCGUAAUGUGGGCCAGCAGCCGCGGUAAUAGGGAGAGGGCGAGCGUUGCUCGAAAUUACUGGGCGUAAAGGGAGCGUAGGCGGAUAGUUUAGUCAGAGGUUAAAUCACAGGGCUAAGCCUUGGAAUUGCCUGUGAUACUGGCUAUCAUGAGUAUGGAAGAGGUAUGUGGAACUCCGAGGGUAGAGGUGAAAUUCGUAGAUAUUGGGAGGAACACCAGUGGCGAAGGCGGCCACCUGGCCCGGUACUGACGCUCAAGUGCGAAAGCGUGGGGAGCAAACAGGAUUAGAUACCCUAGUAGUC
rnacentral:rRNA from 1 species